rnacentral:rRNA from 1 species
UACAGAGGGUGCAAGCGUUAAUCGGAAUUACUGGGCGUAAAGCGUGCGUAGACGGUUACAUAAGUCGGGUGUGAAAGCCCCGGGCUCAACCUGGGAAUUGCAUUCGAGACUGCGUAGCUAGGGUGCGGAAGAGGGAAGCGGAAUUUCCGGUGUAGCGGUGAAAUGCGUAGAUAUCAAGUGGAACACCAGUGGCGAAGGCGAGUCCCUGGACAACUCCUGACACUGAGGCACGAAAGCUAGGGGAGCAAACAGG